CUGGUCUUAGCUUCCCGCCGGCGGAAUCCCCGCACCACCCAAUCCCCUCGCGACCCAGACUCCCUCGGGGCACGUCAUUAGCAAGUCCGCCAUCUUGGCUAGAACGAGUCUUUCACGGACUACAAAUCCCGGCGUACAAAGCAGGUACCCGCUUCUGGCCGGGAGUUCUGGAGCAAUACCUGCUGCUCAGAAGCCUCCUCUGGGUUCCAGACAGACAGAUGAGCUGCCUCUUCAACAGCUCCCCUGAGAGGUCCAACAGACCUCUCACACUCAGCACGUCCAAACUGGAGUCCUCCCGAGCUUCCCCGUAUCCUCUGCGUCACUUUCUGGCAUCUCCAUCCUUCCAGUUGCUUGAGUGAAGAUCUUCAUAUCAUCCUGAUGCCGCACUUUCCUCUCACACCCAAAUACGUAGUUUCAGCCAGCGCUCAUCCCACUCAGAGGGAGACCUCCGCUCCUGGCUGUGUGGGGCUCACAAGGGAUCGGGUCCUCCUCUACCACACACACCCCAUCUCCUACCAAUCUCCCCCACCACUCCUACUCCCUCCUGCUGCUCCAGUCUUCCCCCACCCCACCUGCUUGUUCCUUGAUCAUGUCUAGGAAGGACAUGAUCCACCCACCCCAGGGCCUUUGCACCCGCAGUUCUCUCUGCCUGGUGUGAUCUUUCCCAAUUCAUUCACGACCUUGCUCCUUCAUGCCAUUCAGUCCUGCUCAAAUGUCACUUGGCCAGGGAGGCCUUCCCUGCCCACCCUGUCUGAAAUAGCACCCUCUGGUCCCUCUCUAGUCCCAUCCCCUGCUUUAUUUUUAUCCCUUUGUUCUAUGUUGAUCUUUCCAACUAGAAUGUAAGCCCCAUGGGUUUAGGGACUUGGUUUUGUCACUGCCGUCAUACCCCUCCCUGAACCUGUCCCACCACAUAGCAUGUGGCACAUAUAUACUGAAUCAAAGAGUGAAUCAAGCCGACCAUGUUGCCAUCCUACAAUCCUACAGUGUUCCGUCACAUCUCUGUGCCUUUGCUCAUGCUGCACUUUCUCCUUGGAAGGUGCUUCCUGCUCCUAGUCUGCCUAGAAAACUCUUACUCGUCCCUCAACACCCCACCAAACUGUCGCCAGCUUUGUGAAGCUCCCAUGUCCCCAAGCAGAAUGAUCCAGUCAUUCCUUGGUGACCCCAAAGCAUCCUGUACGUGCCUCAGUUAAUGCCUGAGUCUCAUGUGAUUUGUCUGUCUGUCUUCAGUAAAUAGUGAGCUUCCUGAGA